AGGAUCGGGUCUUACAAGUUGGUAUCAGAGCAUGCUUGAUCCUGUUACGGACAGUGCUCAAGGAUGUUGAGUUCCAAACCGAAAUUAUUUCUGAAAACUAUGAUGACUUGGAACCUUAGCUGUGGUCAGCCAAGGGAGAGUUGAGGUAAGAUUGGGUUUCAUGCUUGAGAACGGGGAAGUUCCAAGAUUAGCCGGCUUAGCCAAGAUACACUCUUCCACGGCAAGACCCUGAAAACAUAAAGGUUAGUUUAUCUAGUUAUUUGGGAAUAGUAGACGGAUUGGAUGAUGGACGCAAUGCAAGAUCUUUGUAUGGACGACCUGGACAAGGGAAGUAACAUGGACCAGAGAGUGGCUUAGGUUGAAAGAAACGUGCAGCACUCUCUUGGAGGUAAAUGUUAUCCCUUGGUGGCCGUUAAAAACAAGUGAGCAUAUGCAAUGUUCAUGUUAGUCUAAGGGAGACGCUACAUGGCUAGUACAUGAGUGUGCUUAUGAUCAGAUGGAUCAGCUUGGACUCAGUGUAAGUCAAGGUAGGAUUCCUUAAGAUUGAGUGAAUGGAAUGGAUCAAUUCCAACAGGAAUUGGAAACACGAUGUUAAGUAUCUUAGUACGAUGAGGAUUGAGGUAUACUAUAAACACUUUUGUGAAUGGUAUGGGACGUUCACAGAUGUGUGAUGCUUUGGAGAAUGGUAUGGGACAUUUUCCAAAUGUGUGAUCAAACCGAGAUCCUACUCAUCUAAGUACUUAAUGAUCGGUGGUGUGGAAACACAUUAUUUGAUACUUGAGCUACACAUAGUUUUGUGAGUCCAAGUAUGAUUGGAAAAGGUUUGUUCCAGUAUGGAACAUGGGACGGUCCUGAACGAGUGAGUAGGACAAGUUAUGAACUCACUCGGUCUGGUAAAGGACAUCCCUGUGGUGAUCUUGGAUAGGCCGAUGCCUAGAGAUCUUAUUGUUGUCCCCCUCAAGCAUCAUGAAGUGAUCUUGGGCAUGGACUGGUUGGGAAAGUAUCGGGCAACUCUAGAUUGUCACCGGGGAAGGGUGAAACUUGAGAACGAGUUUGGACCCCCGAUUAAGUACCAUGGAAUCAAGCCAACCUCUUGUAGAGAUUAAGUACCAAGGAAUCAAGCCAACCUCUUGUAGUUUGGUGGUUUCAGCAGUCCAAGUAGAACGGAUACUUGGAAAUGGUUGUGAGGCCUUUUUGGUUACCAUUUACACUGAUGAGGUUGUAGGGGCCUGUGACCCAGAGGGUACACCGUUGGUUCGGGAAUUUCAGGAAGUGUUUGGGGCACUACAAGGCAUUCCCCCUUAUAGGGCUGACCCAUUCAUCAUUGAAUUGGAACCUGGAACGUCCCCAUUAUCUAAAAGUCCAUAUAGAAUGGCACCAACUAAGAUGGCUGAGCUGAAGUCGAUCAAGUCCAGUGAGGGAUGAGGAUCGCAGCACAACCAAGUUGGAGAUUGACCUAUGGUUGGGGUGAGACGGUUGAGUCCUGGAGUGGACCAGAACCGCAAUAUGAUCAAGUCCGUCAAAGGAUGAGGAUCAGGACACGACCUACUCGGAGAUGGACCUAUGGUCAGGGUGUAACGGUCUAGUCCCUGAGUGGACCAGGACUGGAAUAUGAUCACGUCCUAAAUGGACCAGGAUCAAAAUAUGAAAAAGUCCAGUUCGGACAGAAGUCAAGUUGAGGCGGUUUAGUCAUGUAAGGGCUAAGAUGGCAAUAUGGCCAAGCUGGGAGAGGCUGUGGCUGGUUAAGGAAUGAUCCAGUAAUUGGGGGCUGGAAUCAUAAACCUUAUUGUCCGGGAAGGACUUAAGGGAACAAAACAAUCUGUUAGGACUCAUGGUAGAGUGAUCAACCUAAAGAUUGGAACAUGUUCGCUAGGACUUGGCUGGUGCAUAGAGUGGCUUUGAGAUUGGUUGAAUCUUCUAAGACUUGAGUACCCAGUAUGUUCCUAGCGACUGAAUUUGAUCUAGUCAUGGAACUAAAGUGUUCUACAUGGACUUGGUGUCUACUAGGAACGCAACCUGGAGAGUUGGGUCAGUGACACAAGUCAUGUCUUUGUAUGGGUGCUUGAUGGAUCACUUGAUAAGAUUUUGGGUAAAAUCUCUAUCAAGUGGGGGGAGACUUGUGUAGAUGGUGAUCAAGACGUGAUCAGUGAGGAGGGACAAGGAGGGAGAUGCAACGAAUUAAUUAAGAAGAACCAAUCGAGCAUGCUCUAGGUUCUGGAUGCAAAGAAUUCGGUUGGAAUCUUUUCUCUUCAGACAAGACGGCAACACCACAGGAUUCGAGGACGAAUCCAUCCUAAGUGGGGGAGACUUGUCAUGUCCCCGAUCCUGGAUAGGAUCGUCCAGACAGACUUUAGUGCGAGGAGACGCACCAGUCAGGUCACAUGACCUAAAGACAAGCGUGUCAUGGUCCAAAACGUGGUUAAGGGAAUCAGGUAGCUGGAACUUAUCCAAAAUAAGGCAGAUGCAAGAUCAAAGGAGCUGGACAAGCGAGCUGGUAGCUGGAGGAGAUCCAGGUGAAGCUCGAUUGAAGUGGGUGAUCAGAAUGGAUCAUGGGAGAACUAAGUAUAGGUCUGGAAAUAAACCAAGGGACUUAGAAGAAUUGAAGAAGAUAAAGGAAGCAAGCGGGACACAGUGUAUAAUAGCUGGGUGAUGCAGUAAGCAAGCUCGACCAGCUAGGUGAAGUGUAGUGCAGCUCAAUGUAGCUCACUGAAGUGUAGGUCAUCUCCCUGAGCUGGAUGGUCUAGCUCACUCAUCUGGGUCAGCUGGGGAUCAGCUCAACUCAGCUGGACUGAGUGUUCAAGUCAUGGGCAGUUGGGCCGGGUCUGGACAGUGGUCGGGCCAUGUGGGCGACCCAGGUGUACCGAUGGGCUGGUUGGCUCUUGGGAUUGAGCCAGGAGCUUGGGCAAUCCGUGUGGGCUUGUUUGUACUUGUACAGGAGUGGAUUGGCAAGCCCAGGGCAUCUGGAAACUGCCUGAGGUGAAUCGGUAUGAUCUGGACCAUUGAUUAAAUCAAUGGCCAGAAAUGAUACCGAAAGGGUGCAACCUUUGGAAAGGUAACUGCCCCUUCUUCUAUAAAAGGCAGGCAAGUCCGUGCCUUUGCAGGCACGCCAGGGCUUCCUCCUACACCCUGAAACACAAAGAAACACAGAGAAAAGACAGAGAGUUGGUUGGAUUCCCAAUCCAAGACCCAUAGUGGUGUGAAGGUCAUAAAGAGGCAGUUUUGGGAGAGAUCAAGGGGGAAAUUAUGAACGACUUUCUGGUGGUUUUGAUCCGUGAUGUUAUCACCCAAAGCAUCCUACAGGGCGAAGGGGGGAAGUUAUGAACGACUUUCUUGUGGUUUUGAUCCGUGAAGUUAUCACCCAAAGCAUCCUACAGGGCCUGAGAACACACGCAAAUGGUUAGGAAAGAAGGUAGAUGACCGGAAUUCAUUCCCAAAGGCCAAGACAGCCUUAAGGAGAGAGGUGUGUGGGAGGGCAGUUUCAUGGAAGUGCAAGGGGAGUUAUGAACGACCCUGUGGUAGGUUUUCACCACGGAUGAACACGUCCUAGGCUUCCCCUGUAUCUUGGGAACACACGCAAAUACCCAGGAGAGAAGGGAGAAGGCCGGAGUUCCCUCACAAUGGCAUGAAUAGCCUUGAAGGUGGAUGCAGUGUAGAAACUGGGUUCAUGGAAGUUCCAUGGAAGGGAUCAGGGGUGCGACCCAUGAAUGGAUCUUAUCAAUACAGGAGGUGUGUGAUAAGGAUUGAUAGAGGCGUGCACUGGAGGAGCAUGGCCGAACAAAAUAAGGAAAGGCACUUGAUCUAAUCAGAUCAUGUAUAAGGUAACGGAUUUUAUAAUUACUUUCAAGGUUAUGUUUCUGUCUCUUGUGGUGGGGUUAAUGCCAAGUAUGGCACGCCCCUUGAAGACCAUAUGUUGUGAUGUAAACUAAUGAUCCAGGACCCUGAGAUAAGGGGCGGAUCUUAGUUGAUCUAACUCAUCCAUGUGGGAUGGAAGUUAGAGGCCACUCAUUGGAUAGUGAUCCAUGGUGGAUCAUGGUGUGUGUGUUAGUUCUGAUCAUAAUGUGAAUCAAUGAUCCGAAUCAUGGAGGAGACCCAUGGGGAUCCUUGUACAUGAGGAACCAUGUGGGGUGCAAGGUCCAAUUCAUUUGGAACCAGCAGCAAGCCGUGGAGGCGAGUAAGGCCAGUAGUAAGUGGCAUGGACCACAAGUAUGGGGCUUGUGGGUUUAUCUAAAGAAGGCCGUGUGUAAUCUGAUCUUUGGCAAGGAUGGAUGACCUGAUCCAUAGGUGACGGAUCAAGGUGUCUGAUCUGAUUGAUCAAAGGAUGCACCGGUGGUAAGAGGAGGACUGAUCGGCUUCGUUGGGACAUGGUUCCAUGGCCGGUUAGGUACGUGUGAAGACUCAUCAGUUCUGGGUCAUGUGGGGUGGUUGGUUGAUUGACUCAGGAUCUGAUGGGCGUUGUUACUCCAUGAGCUGGACUUGGUAUCAUAAGUUGAUAAGACAAAAGGAUGUGGGACAGUGCAUGAGCCUGUAAGGGCCAGAUGCAUGUCCUUAGCUGUUUGAAGACUUCUCAAGGGUUACUUAUGUCUGUGGGGAUUGUCGGCUGAAUGACUAAGUACCUAAGGGAGUUGUUUUGUGUGUGUAAAGGAGCUGGACGCAGUAUAUGGCAGCUGGCCAUAGCUCGGUCCUAGCUCAGUACGAGUGUGACAGCUCGAUCAGCUCGUCUAUGAGUUCAUUCAGCUUGAGUAGCUGGGCCGAUGAGCCAACAAGCUCUGUGGAUGUGGCAAAGGUAUGAUCUAGCAAUGUUGCAUUGAUCUAGAUAGAAUGGUUAGGGAAACAGAACCUCAGAUUUGUAUGACUUUGUAUGAUCUAGCAAUGUUGCAUAGAUCUAGAUAGAAUGGUUAGGGAAAUGAAACCUCAGAUUUGUAUGAUUUGGUUCGUGUUCAGAAUCAACCUUGGAGCUAGCUGGUAGUUGAGUAUACUAACCAUUAGCUUUGGUGAUUCGACCGGACAAGUAUUAGAUUGGUUAUAGACCAAUGGAUGAUGAUAUUAUUCCACUGCGUAUGUGUUGUAUUGAUCUAAGCUAGGAAAGACUAUGGUAGUCUUGAGCUAAGAUCUGAGUUAGCCCUCGCCUAUGGGCGAUGUGUUAAAUAUAGGGCGAACAUUUUGAGAGGUUCAGUCAGGGUAUCGACCGAGCGACGUGAGGCAUCGACCGCAGCCUAGUCGGCCAGGAUCGGGUCCAAUAAAGGGCGAAAAUUUUGAGAGGUUCGGUCAGGGUAUCGACCGAGCGACGUGAGGCAUCGACCGCGGCCUAGUCGGCCAGGAUCGGGUCUUACAAGUUGGUAUCAGAGCAUGCUUGAUCCUGUUACGGACAGUGCUCAAGGAUGCUGAGUUCCAAACCGAAAUUAUUUCUGAAAACUAUGAUUACUUGGAACCUUAGCUUUGGUGAGCCAAGCGAGAGUUGAGGUAAGAUUGGGUUUCAUGCUUGUGAAUGGGGAAGUUCCAACAUGAGCCGGUUUAGCCAAGAUACACUCUUCCACGGAAAGACCCUGAAAACAUAAAGGUUAGUUUAUCUAGUUAUUUGGGAAUAGUAGACGGAUUGGAUGAUGGACGCAAU
rnacentral:lncRNA from 1 species